ACGGGAGGCAGCAGUAGGGAAUAUUGCACAAUGGGGGGAACCCUGAUGCAGCAACGCCACGUGUGGGAAGAAGCAUUUCGGUGUGUAAACCACUGUCGUGAGGGAAUAAUGCUCGGUCUCGGCCGAGUUGAAUGUACCUCGAAAGGAAGCACCGGCAAACUUCGUGCCAGCAGCCGCGGUAAUACGAGGGGUGCAAGCGUUAUCCGGAUUUACUGGGUGUAAAGGGAGCGCAGACGGCAUGGCAAGCCAGAUGUGAAAGGCAGGGGCUCAACUCCUGGACUGCAUUUGGAACUGUCAAGCUAGAGUAUCGGAGAGGUAAGUGGAAUUCCUAGUGUAGCGGUGAAAUGCGUAGAUAUUAGGAGGAACACCAGUGGCGAAGGCGGCUUACUGGACGAUAACUGACGUUGAGGCUCGAAAGCGUGGGGAGCAAACAGGAUUAGAUACCCUGGUA
rnacentral:rRNA from 1 species